UCUUACUAGAUUCUCUUCAGCUGGUAUAAAUCUUUUGCCUUUUACUGAAGAUUUCCGUGGAGAGGAACAUUAAUUCUCUGUGAAGCAGCUUAAACUGUGAAGGAACAGCAGGCAAAUUGCU
rnacentral:snRNA from 1 species